rnacentral:rRNA from 1 species
UACAGAGGGGGCAAGCGUUGUUCGGAAUUACUGGGCGUAAAGGGCGCGUAGGCGGCCUGUUAAGUCGAACGUGAAAUCCCCGGGCUCAACCCGGGAACUGCGUCCGAUACUGGCAGGCUUGAAUUCGGGAGAGGGAUGUGGAAUUCCAGGUGUAGCGGUGAAAUGCGUAGAUAUCGAGAGGAACACCUGCGGCGAAGGCGGGUUGCUGGGCUGAUACUGACGCUGAGGCGCGAAAGCCAGGGGAGCGAACGGG